CAAACACUCUGAAAACAUGAGUUCACUCAACACAACAAUAUUCACUAAUUAAAAACCCUUGGUGAUAUUCUGUAAUUUAGAUCCGAAGAGCACAGUCU